UACGUAGGGUGCAAGCGUUGUCCGGAAUUAUUGGGCGUAAAGAGCUCGUAGGCGGUUUGUCGCGUCUGCUGUGAAAAACCCGGAGCUCAACUCCGGGCCUGCAGUCGAUACGGGCGGACUCGAGUUCGGCAGGGGGAGACUGGAAUUCCUGGUGUAGCGGUGAAAUGCGUAGAUAUCGGGAGGAACACCAGUGGCGAAGGCGACUACCUGGCCUGUUCUUGACGCUGAGGCGCGAAAGCUAGGGGGAGCAAACGGG
rnacentral:rRNA from 1 species